GACGAACGCUGGCGGCGUGCUUAACACAUGCAAGUCGAACGGAAAGGCCCCUUUGGGGGUACUCGAGUGGCGAACGGGUGAGUAACACGUGAGUAACCUGCCCUUGACUUCGGGAUAACUUCAGGAAACUGGGGCUAAUACCGGAUAGGAAUCCUUGCUGCAUGGUGGGGGUUGGAAAGCUUCGGCGGUUUUGGAUGGACUCGCGGCUUAUCAGCUUGUUGGUGGGGUAGUGGCUUACCAAGGCUUUGACGGGUAGCCGGCCUGAGAGGGCGACCGGCCACAUUGGGACUGAGAUACGGCCCAGACUCCUACGGGAGGCAGCAGUGGGGAAUAUUGCACAAUGGGCGGAAGCCUGAUGCAGCAACGCCGCGUGCGGGAUGACGGCCUUCGGGUUGUAAACCGCUUUCAGCAGGGGCGAAGCUUGUGGUGACGGUACCUGCCGAAGAAGCACCGGCUAACUACGUG
rnacentral:rRNA from 1 species